rnacentral:tRNA from 1 species
GCCCUCUUAGCUCAGUUGGCAGAGCAGCGGAUUCUUAAUCCGGAGGUCCCAGGUUCGAAUCCUGGAGGGGGCACCA